rnacentral:lncRNA from 1 species
AGCCACCCUGGUUUAUAUAGAGGCGCCGGAAGACCAGUGGAAGGUGGCAUCCAGAUGACUGCCUCACAAUUCGCAGCCUUUGUGCUCUUCAUCAGAAACCCAUCAGGGGCAAGCCACUUAUGUUUGCCUUCAGACAAGACAACAUUGAAGUAGGAUUCCAGCACAGUCAUCUCCUGCACUUAUGGUCAAGAUGCUCG